rnacentral:pre_miRNA from 1 species
GGUCUCGAGGAAGCAUUCCUGCACACACCAGACUAACGAAAGCCGUGUGUGGAGAUGCUUCUGUCACAUU